rnacentral:rRNA from 1 species
CCGCGGGAUAGAGUUUGAUCCUGGCUCAGAUUGAACGCUGGCGGCAGGCUUAACACAUGCAAGUCGAGCGGAUGAAGGUAGCUUGCUACUGGAUUCAGCGGCGGACGGGUGAGUAAUGCUUAGGAAUCUGCCUAUUAGUGGGGGACAACGUUCCGAAAGGAGCGCUAAUACCGCAUACGUCCUACGGGAGAAAGCAGGGGACCUUUGGGCCUUGCGCUAAUAGAUGAGCCUAAGUCGGAUUAGCUAGUUGGUAGGGUAAAGGCCUACCAAGGCGACGAUCUGUAGCGGGUCUGAGAGGAUGAUCCGCCACACUGGGACUGAGACACGGCCCAGACUCCUACGGGAGGCAGCAGUGGGGAAUAUUGGACAAUGGGGGGAACCCUGAUCCAGCCAUGCCGCGUGUGUGAAGAAGGCCUUUUGGUUGUAAAGCACUUUAAGCGAGGAGGAGGCUACCUAGAUUAAUACUUUAGGAUAGUGGACGUUACUCGCAGAAUAAGCACCGGCUAACUCUGUGCCAGCAGCCGCGGUAAUACAGAGGGUGCGAGCGUUAAUCGGAUUUACUGGGCGUAAAGCGUGCGUAGGCGGCCAAUUAAGUCAAAUGUGAAAUCCCCGAGCUUAACUUGGGAAUUGCAUUCGAUACUGGUUGGCUAGAGUAUGGGAGAGGAUGGUAGAAUUCCAGGUGUAGCGGUGAAAUGCGUAGAGAUCUGGAGGAAUACCGAUGGCGAAGGCAGCCAUCUGGCCUAAUACUGACGCUGAGGUGCGAAAGCAUGGGGAGCAAACAGGAUUAGAUACCCUGGUAGUCCAUGCCGU